rnacentral:rRNA from 1 species
CGCGUAGGUGGCUUUACAAGUCUGGAGUGAAAGUCCCGUUUUUAAGGUGGGAAUGGCUUUGGAAACUGUAAGGCUUGAGUGUGGGAGAGGAUAGCGGAAUUCCCGGUGUAGCGGUGAAAUGCGUAGAGAUCGGGAGGAACACCAGUGGCGAAGGCGGCUAUCUGGACCAAGACUGACACUGAAGCGCGAAAGCGUGGGUAGCAAACA